rnacentral:tRNA from 1 species
GGAAAUGUAGUUGAGUGGCAGAACACUUGCAUAGCAAGCAUGAGGCCCUGGGUUCAAUACCUAGUACCG